GACGAACGCUGGCGGCGUGCUUAACACAUGCAAGUCGAACGGUGAAGCGCCUUCCUUUUUGGUGGGUGUGGAUGAGUGGCGAACGGGUGAGUAACACGUGAGUAACCUGCCCCCUUCUUCUGGAUAACCGCAUGGAAGUGUGGCUAAUACGGGAUAUUCUGGGUCUGUCGCAUGAUGGGUCUGGGAAAGAUAUUGUUUCGGUGGGGGAUGGGCUCGCGGCCUAUCAGCUUGUUGGUGGGGUGAUGGCCUACCAAGGCGGUGACGGGUAGCCGGCCUGAGAGGGUGGACGGUCACACUGGGACUGAGACACGGCCCAGACUCCUACGGGAGGCAGCAGUGGGGAAUAUUGCACAAUGGGCGCAAGCCUGAUGCAGCGACGCCGCGUGAGGGAUGGAGGCCUUCGGGUUGUGAACCUCUUUCGCCAGUGAAGCAGGCCUGCCUCGUUUGUGGGUGGGUUGACAGUAGCUGGAUAAGAAGCGCCGGCUAACUACGUA
rnacentral:rRNA from 1 species